rnacentral:rRNA from 1 species
CGGGACGGGGUGGAGUAAUGUCUGGGAAACUGCCUGAUGGAGGGGGAUAACUACUGGAAACGGUAGCUAAUACCGCAUAACGUCGCAAGACCAAAGAGGGGGACCUUAGAGCCUCUUGCCAUCGGAUGUGCCCAGAUGGGAUUAGCUAGUAGGUGGGGUAACGGCUCACCUAGGCGACGAUCCCUAGCUGGUCUGAGAGGAUGACCAGCCACACUGGAACUGAGACACGGUCCAG